rnacentral:rRNA from 1 species
UACGUAGGAGGCGAGCGUUGUCCGGAAUCAUUGGGCGUAAAGAGCGUGUAGGCGGUCCGGUAAGUCCGCUGUGAAAGUCGGGGGGCUCAACCCUCGAAUGCCGGUGGAUACUGUCGGGCUAGAGUGCGGAAGAGGCGAGUGGAAUUCCUGGUGUAGCGGUGAAAUGCGCAGAUAUCAGGAGGAACACCUAUUGCGAAGGCAGCUCGCUGGGACGUAACUGACGCUGAGACGCGAAAGCGUGGGGAGCAAACAGG